GCCGAGCUCAGCAGCGAGAGCUUGUAACCCGAGUGGGGGCAUUCGAGGUGGUGUGGACUCUGGAGUAUGGAUGUGAACCUGGGCCGGGAAUGCUACUGAUGGCCCCACCCAUUCCAAGUUGCGUAGUGGAUCUGCUGGGGCCUAUGCGAAAGCUGGGCCUCACGAAUUCUAUAGUGGCAGGCACCGCGUUAGGCUGGCUUCACAGAGCAGCGACAACUGCCCGCUUCCAACGGUGGAAGGAUAACGGGCCGCUGCAUUCCCGGCCCGCUUGGGUCUCAUAGCCUACUCCAAAGAACCACCACUUUU
rnacentral:SRP_RNA from 1 species